AGCUCCAAUAGCGUAUAUUAAAGUUGUUGCAGUUAAAAAGCUUGUAGUUGGAUUUCUAGCAGGAGCGACCGGUCACACACUCUGUGUGUGAAAAUGUGUUGCAUCUGGCCAUCCUUGGGGAGAUGCUGUUUGGCAUUAAGUUGUUGGGCAGGGGAUACCCAUCGUUUAUUGUGAAAAAAAUAGAGUGUUUAAAGCAGGCUUAUGCCGUUGAAUAUAUUAGCAUGGAAUAAUAAGAUCGGACUUUGAAACUAUUUUGUUGGUUUGCGUUACAAAGUAAUGAUUAAUAGGGACAGUUGGGGGUAUUCCUAUUUCGUUGUCAGAGAUGAAAUUCUUGGAUUUCCGAGAGACGAACUACUGCAAAAGUAUUUACCAAGGAUGUUUUCA
rnacentral:rRNA from 1 species